CUGGCUCAGAACGAACGCUGGCGGCGCGUCUUAAGCAUGCAAGUCGAACGGCAAGAGGUAGCAAUACCUCCUAGAGUGGCGGACUGGUGAGUAACACGUGGGUGACAUACCCUCAGAUGGGGAUAGCUAUUAGAAAUAGUAGAUAAUACCGAAUACGAGCACAGGGGUUAGAGAUCUGUGAGGAAAGGAGCUAAGGCUCCGCUGAAGGAAUGGCCUGCGGCCCAUUAGCUAGUUGGUGAGGUAAGAGCCCACCAAGGCGAUGAUGGGUAUCCGGCCUUAGAGGGUGAACGGACACAUUGGGACUGAGACACGGCCCAAACUCCUACGGGAGGCAGCAGUAGGGAAUCUUCCGCAAUGGACGAAAGUCUGACGGAGCAACGCCGCGUGAGUGAAGAAGGUUUUCGGAAUCGUAAAACUCUGUUGUCAGAGAAGAACAAGUUGGAGAGUAACUGCUCCAGCCUUGACGGUAUCUGACCAGAAAGCCACGGCUAACUACGUGCCAGCAGCAGC
rnacentral:rRNA from 1 species